ensembl:lncRNA
GUUGGAUUAUGUGUAUAUAAACAACAUGCGUGUGUGACUUAGAUGAGCGUCACUUCCUGGGAUCCCGUUUCGCUUCUGGUUCAUGGACUGAGGGCUGCUGUGAUUUUGGCUUUGCAGGACGAUUGCGGCAACUGUAGUUAUCUCCGUGGCUGCAGAUAUUGUGGCUUUGACUUAUUGUUGGUGGCGGCGUGUGUCUCGCAUCUGCAUAUGCGACUACAUUCAGGACGAUUGCGGCAACUGUAGUUAUCUCCGUGGCUGCAGAUAUUGUGGCUUUGACUUAUUGUUGGUGGCGGCGUGUGUCUCGCAUCUGCAUAUGCGACUACAUUCAGAUGACGACUGUAUAUGCUGAGUUAUUCUCCUUGCGUAUCCUGAGCUUCACCGGCUGAGUGAUUAAACCGAAACUAUACUUCGCAUUGCAUCUAUGGAGUAUUAUCUUCACUUCUACUGACUCCCGGGUCCCUGUGCCUGUUAUCUGGAGCUGCAGACCUUGUAUGGAGAGCAGGGCUGAAGUCUUUCUUUAGGUGGUGAUGGUGUUUCCUCACAGAGUGCUGUGAUUUGCCGUGUGCACUGGGGCUUUUGGAUUGGUGUGAGUGUGCAGUGUACUUAGAGUAAAGGCCUGUACGGCCGGUCAUGUAGCCCAGGCUGCAGCUCCUCAUUGUUGCCUUUCUGGACCUUUUGUGUAAUUGUGGUCCCAGUCUCUUUUCAGUGAAUGUGUUUUAAAUUUCUGUUAUUGAAUUUAAAAUAAAUUGUUUUAUUUUUA